rnacentral:rRNA from 1 species
UGCCAGCCGCCGCGGUAAUACGGAGGGUGCGAGCGUUGUCCGGAUUUAUUGGGUUUAAAGGGUGCGUAGGCGGCCUAUUAAGUCAGUGGUGAAAGCCCUCAGCUCAACUGAGGAACUGCCAUUGAUACUGGUUGGCUUGAGUUCUGUUAAGGUAGGCGGAAUUGAUGGUGUAGCGGUGAAAUGCAUAGAUACCAUCAAGAACAUCGAUUGCGAAGGCAACUUACUGGGCAUGGACUGACGCUGAGGCACGAAAGCGUGGGGAGCGAACAGGAUUAGAUA